rnacentral:siRNA from 1 species
UUUUACCCUACUGAUGCCCGCG